UCUCUGGUAGUAUAUCGGACAGUACACCCGCCUGUCAAGUGUUCUCACUUGGAUCGCGGGAGAGCGGGGUUCGACUCCCCGCCAGAGAG